UACAGAGGGUGCAAGCGUUGUUCGGAAUUAUUGGGCGUAAAGGGCGCGUAGGCGGUUCGGCAAGUCUCUAGUGAAAUCUCUGGGCUCAACUCAGAGUCUGCUGGGGAAACUGCCGGGCUUGAGUGUGGGAGAGGAGAGUGGAAUUCCCGGUGUAGCGGUGAAAUGCGUAGAUAUCCGGAGGAACACCGGUGGCGAAGGCGGCUUCCUGGACCGACACUGACGCUGAGGCGCGAAAGCUAGGGGAGCAAACGGG
rnacentral:rRNA from 1 species